AUUGAACGCUGGCGGCAUGCUUUACACAUGCAAGUCGAACGGUAACAGGGAAAAGCUUGCUUUUCUGCUGACGAGUGGCGAACGGGUGAGUAACACAUCGGAACGUGCCCUGUAGUGGGGGAUAACUACUCGAAAGAGUGGCUAAUACCGCAUACAACCUGAGGGUAAAAGUGGGGGACCGCAAGGCCACACGCUAUAGGAGCGGCCGAUGGAAGAUUAGGUAGUUGGUAGGGUAAAGGCCUACCAAGCCGACGAUCUUUAGCGGGUCUGAGAGGACGAUCCGCCACACUGGGACUGAGACACGGCCCAGACUCCUACGGGAGGCAGCGGUGGGGAAUUUUGGACAAUGGGGGCAACCCUGAUCCAGCAAUGCCGCGUGAGUGAAGAAGGCCUUCGGGUUGUAAAGCUCUUUUGUUUGGGAAGAAAUCCCUAAGGAUAAUAUCCUUGGGGGAUGACGGUACCAAAAGAAUAAGCACCGGCUAACUACGUGCCAGCAGCCGCGGUAAAAC
rnacentral:rRNA from 1 species